rnacentral:rRNA from 1 species
UCUCUCUGAAUCUGCGUACGGCUCCGCACACCAGUUGUAAACCAAAGCAAGCAAGCCCGGUCUCGACGCCUUUCGGGGCUAGGGGCCGGGCUACAAGGAUAACCCUGGUAAUUCUGAGGCUAAUACUUGACACGGAACCUGUCGACUGGGCCUCGGCCCGGGAAGCAGGGGAUGUGCGACUAUCGGGCCAACAAAACCGGAAAGAGCGCACGUUCAGACCACUUAAAAAGGCCACGAGGUCCCUCGGGAUCUCGGGGCUGUGGCUCUUGCAGCGUGCUUCUGACCUAUCAACUAGACGGCAGCCUAAGGGACAUGCUUUGGUGACAACGGGUACAGAGGAUAAGGGUUCGAUCCUGGAGAGUGGGCCUGAGAGAUU